rnacentral:rRNA from 1 species
AUUGAACGCUGGCGGCAUGCCUAACACAUGCAAGUCGAACGGGGCAGCAAUGCCUAGUGGCGGACGGGUGAGGAAUACGUAGGAAUCUGCCCUUAAGUGGGGGAUAACCAGGGGAAACCCUGACUAAUACCGCAUGAUCUCUUCGGAGCAAAGAGGGGGACCGCAAGGCCUCUCGCUUCUGGAUGAGCCUACGUCUGAUUAGCUAGUUGGUAGGGUAAAGGCCUACCAAGGCGACGAUCAGUAGCUGGUCUGAGAGGAUGAUCAGUCACACCGGAACUGAGACACGGUCCGGACUCCUACGGGAGGCAGCAGUGGGGAAUAUUGGACAAUGGGCGCAAGCCUGAUCCAGCAAUGCCGCGUGUGUGAAGAAGGCCUUCGGGUUGUAAAGCACUUUAGCCUGGAAAGAAAAAACUUUGGUUAACACCCAAAGUCUUGAUGGUACCAGGAGAAUAAGCACCGGCUAACUCUGUGCCAGCCGCCGCGGUAACAC